AACGAACGCUGGCGGCAUGCCUAACACAUGCAAGUCGAACGAGACCUUCGGGUCUAGUGGCGCACGGGUGCGUAACGCGUGGGAACCUGCCCUUAGGUUCGGAAUAACUCCCCGAAAGGGGUGCUAAUACCGGAUAAUGUCUUCGGACCAAAGAUUUAUCGCCUUUGGAUGGGCCCGCGUUGGAUUAGCUAGUUGGUAGGGUAAAAGCCUACUAAGGCAACGAUUCAUAGCUGGUCUGAGAGGAUGAUCGGCCACACUGGAACUGGGACACGGCCCAGACUCCUACGGGAGGCAGCAGUAGGGAAUCUUCCGCAAUGGGCGGAAGCCUGACGGGAGAACGCCGCGUGAGUGAUUAAGGUCUUCGGAUCGUAAAACUCUGUUAUCAGGGAAGAACAAAUGUGUAAGUAACUGUGCACAGCUUGACGGUACCUAAUAAGAAAGCCACGGCUAACUACGUG
rnacentral:rRNA from 1 species